rnacentral:lncRNA from 1 species
AUGAAUCAUGUAAGAUAUAAAAUAAACACAAUAAUUUAUUCAAAUAUUUAUACUACGAUUAAUCGACCGAAUUAAAAAAAUAUAAAUAAAAUAAUAGAAAAGAAGAGAUAGGAGAAUACUCAUGAAUAUUAUAUUAAGUCACGGAUUCGAAUCAAUCUCCUCACAUAACUGUUUUCACAUCAGAAUAGCAAAGUUCCGACUACACGAAUAUAAAAAGAAAAGAAAACAAAAACUAAAUAGAAAUUUGUCUAUCUAAAAUUGUUUAUGUUUGCCUGUCCG